rnacentral:rRNA from 1 species
CGCUGUCACUCCUACGGGAGGCAGCAGUGGGGAAUAUUGCACAAUGGGGGAAACCCUGAUGCAGCCAUGCCGCGUGUGUGAAGAAGGCCUUCGGGUUGUAAAGCACUUUCAGUAGGGAGGAAGGUAGUGUAGUUAACACCUGCAUUAUUUGACGUUACCUACAGAAGAAGCACCGGCUAACUCCGUGCCAGCAGCCGCGGUAAUACGGAGGGUGCGAGCGUUAAUCGGAAUUACUGGGCGUAAAGCGCAUGCAGGCGGCCUGUUAAGUCAGAUGUGAAAGCCCGGGGCUUAACCUCGGAAUUGCAUUUGAAACUGGCAGGCUAGAGUCUUGUAGAGGGGGUAGAAUUUCAGGUGUAGCGGUGAAAAUGCGUAGAGAUCUGAAGGAAUACCAGUGGCGAAGGCGGCCCCCUGGACAAAGACUGACGCUCAGAUGCGAAAGCGUGGGGAGCAAACAGGAUUAGAUACCCUGGUAG